AGUCCAUUAUGUGGACAAUUUCUUACUAGCCCUUUAAACCUCGCCCAUGCAUCGCUUAAUGUUUCAUUCUCUUCCUGUUGAAAAUUUGUGAUUACCCUUCUCAUUUU